rnacentral:rRNA from 1 species
CACAAGCGGUGGAGCAUGUGGUUAAUUCGAAGCAACGCGAAGAACCUUACCUGGUCUUGACAUCCCGGAGACCCUUAGGAAACUAGGGGUGCUUCCAUCUGGAAGAAUCUGGAGACAGGUGCUGCAUGGCUGUCGUCAGCUCGUGUCGUGAGAUGUUGGGUUAAGUCCCGCAACGAGCGCAACCCUUGCCUUUAGUUGCCAGCAGUUCGGCUGGGCACUCUAAAGGGACUGCCGGUGUUAAACCGGAGGAAGGUGGGGAUGACGUCAAGUCCUCAUGGCCUUUAUGACCAGGGCUACACACGUACUACAAUGGCCGAUACAAAGGGCAGCGACACUGCGAGGCGAAGCCAAUCCCGUAAAAUCGGUCUCAGUCCGGAUUGGAGUCUGCAACUCGACUCCAUGAAGUUGGAAUCGCUAGUAAUCGUGGAUCAGCAUGCCACGGUGAAUACGUUCCCGGGCCUU